rnacentral:rRNA from 1 species
CGGGUGAGUAAUGUCUGGGACACUGCCUGAUGGAGGGGGAUAACUACUGGAAACGGUAGCUAAUACCGCAUAACGUCGCAAGACCAAAGAGGGGGACCUUCGGGCCUCUUGCCAUCGGAUGUGCCCAGAUGGGAUUAGCUAGUAGGUGGGGUAACGGCUCACCUAGGCGACGAUCCCUAGCUGGUCUGAGAGGAUGACCAGCCACACUGGAACUGAGACACGGUCCAG